GGAGCGAGCGGGAAAGAGCUGAGCUGAAGCGAAAAGCGCCGUCAGCCUGUCCCGGAGCCGCCGGCGGUCUGAUUGCAAAAGCCUGACUGUCGCCCCACUGAGUUGGGAAACCAGGGCCUCUUGACCAAGGGACUCCUCCCACCUGCCACAACCUGGGUUCAGUUACCUCUGGUUUCCCUUUAUUCCCUCCACCCCAGAAAGAAGGCAAGGCCGGGUAGAACCCUCCAUCUCCCACUUGCACUCAUCACCAAGAAGCUUCCAUCCUACCCAUCGGUUCACAGGCUGGCUGUCAAGGCAGGGAAUAUCCUUAAAUAUCUAACUCCAAGAGUGAUUCUGAGUCCUGAAGAGGGCAGCCUCCAGCUCCUGAAGCCUAUACAGAUCUGUAACCCCUAUCUAGCCCAGCUUCUUUCCCCUCCUACUCCCCUGUUCUUUGCCCA
rnacentral:lncRNA from 1 species